GGAGUUGUGGCUCAGAGGUAGAGUGCUCACCUAGUAUGUGUGAGAUACUGGGUUUGAUCCUCAGCACCACAG
rnacentral:tRNA from 1 species